rnacentral:rRNA from 1 species
UGGCGGCGUGGAUAAGACAUGCAAGUUGAGCGAUGAACGGACAAUAGCAAUAUUUGAAGGGAUUAGCAGCGAACGGGUGAGUAACACGUGGGAAUCUGCCCUAGGGACUGGGAUAGCCUGACGAAAGUCAGGGUAAUACCGGAUAAGAUCUUCGGAUUAAAGGCGCAAGCCGCUCUAGGAUGAGCCCGCGUUCCAUCAGCUAGUUGGUAGGGUAAAAGCCUACCAAGGCGACGACGGAUAGCUGGUCUGAGAGGACGGUCAGCCACAAUGGAACUGAGACACGGUCCAUACACCUACGGGUGGCAGCAGUCGAGAAUCAUUCACAAUGGGCGAAAGCCUGAUGGUGCGACGCCGCGUGGGGGAUGAAGGCCUUAGGGUCGUAAACCCCUGUCGGUUGUGAGUAAAGCCCGGUUCGAAUCGGGUCUGAUAUUAGCAACAAAGGAAGGGGCGGCUAACUCCGUGCCAGCAGCCGCGGUAAUACGGAGGCCCCAAGCGUUGUUCGGAUUUACUGGGCGUAAAGCGUGCGUAGGCGGCAAGAUAAGUUUGGCGUGAAAUCCCCGGGCCCAACCCGGAAAUUGCGCUGGAAACUAUCUAGCUAGAGGUGUGGAGGGGAGUAUGGAAUUCCCGGUGUAGCAGUGAAAUGCGUAGAUAUCGGGAGGAACACCAGUGGCGAAGGCGAUACUCUGGACACAUUCUGACGCUGAGGUACGAAGGCUAGGGGAGCGAAGAGGAUUAGAUACCCUCGUAGUCCUAGCAGUAAACGGUGUGCACUUGCUGUGGGACGGUUCGACCCGUUCCGUGGCGGAGCUAACGCAUUAAGUGCACCGCCUGGGGAGUACGGCCGCAAGGUUAAAACUCAAAGAAAUUGACGGGGGCCUGCACAAGCGGUGGAGCAUGUGGCUUAAUUCGAUGCAACGCGAAGAACCUUACCUGGGCUUGACAUGUUUGUCAUAGUCCCGUGAAAGCGGGACGUCAGUUCGGCUGGACAAUCACAGGUGCUGCAUGGCUGUCGUCAGCUCGUGUCGUGAGAUGUUGGUUUAAGUACCGCAACGAGCGCAACCCCUAUGUCCUGUUGCCACGGAGAACACGUUUCUCCAGCACUCUGGACAGACUGCCUCAUUUAAUGAGGAGGAAGGUGGGGAUGACGUCAAGUCAGUAUGGCCCUUACGCCCAGGGCUGCACACGUGCUACAA